rnacentral:rRNA from 1 species
UACGUAGGUGGCAAGCGUUGUCCGGAAUUAUUGGGCGUAAAGCGCGCGCAGGCGGUUUCUUAAGUCUGAUGUGAAAGCCCACGGCUCAACCGUGGAAGGUCAUUGGAAACUGAAAGGCUUGAGUACAGAAGAGGAAAGCGGAAUUCCACGUGUAGCGGUGAAAUGCGUAGAGAUGUGGAGGAACACCAGUGGCGAAGGCGGCUUUCUGGUCUGUAACUGACGCUGAGGCGCGAAAGCGUGGGGAGCAAACAGG